UUAAGUGCUACAGUGCCUUCUCGUCUGACAGAACCGCAGCAUUGGUUCAUUCUUCCACAUAUUAUUUUCUUAGAGCGCAUUGCCGUGGUGUUAUUGAUUUCACUGAAAACUGAAAUGUGGGCUCUGAACUGCAAUCAUGGAGAACAAGGUAACUGUUUGGAUAAAAGAAGAGUUAAGAGAUGAGGUUGAGGAUUAUCUGUCCAGUCUGGCAGUAAAGAAAGAAUUGCAGGCGGAUGUGAAUCAAGAGUGAGUGAUACAUUUGAGCAGCAGCAUCAGUAGGAGCAGGCAUCAGCUGGCAUGCAGACGUACUCUCUGAUGCAGCUCCUAAUGCGUUGAAGUGGAAAUAAAGUGCAUUUGAUCAGCAGCAGAAAUCAAGACAGCAUGCAGACAAUCUCACUGAUGCAGACCAUAAUCCACUUGACUAGAAGUCAAACCAACAUUGGGAACAGUUUCAAGACUUCGAGUUUCCACUAUAUCCAUCGCCUCCAUCACUAUAGUGCAGCGGAACACAGAACUGUUUCCAGACCUUUUGCUCCCACUAUGUUCAACAGCUGCACCAGUCAUCAAGCCACAGCUCAGUCAUUAAAGAGUGCUGUAAUUCUGCACCUUUUUCCAAUUGACUGCCACCAGAUCAAAGCAUGCUAAUGUUGGUAUAGCACCUAACAUAUACCUUGAAGUUACAAUCGAAAUAUACAAUGUAUGGCACGAUACAAAGGUGCAGAUCAGUGAUAUGGAGUGAGAUCAACUGUGCAGCAAGAUGAAGUGCUUCGAGGAUUGAACAGACAUAGAGUACACACUAUUUCCUUGAGAUAUCAAUAACUUCAGCAGCAAUACCCCAUCCAUUGUCAACAUGUUUGGGGGAGACAUGAUAAGGUUAACAUCUCAAGAUCCAAUUCAGUUUAUAUUUAAAGUGUCCCAAUGUCACAAACCUUUAUAGCCUGUACGGUCUGGUAUGGAUCACUACUGAGAGACACAGUCUACGGUGAAGGUAUGUGCAACUGCUCUGCAAUGACACUGUUGAGCAUCUAUUGCACCACGAAAUUCAUUAUGACAACGAGGAGUUAAAUGUGUGUAUAAGUGCAUGUGUUUGUAUGUGUACUACACUUAAGUCUGCUAGUAUUACUCAUAUAUGCAGAAAUACCACACAAAUGAAGUUUACAGAGUGCAUUCCUAAGCCUGUUAGUGUUCCAGUUGGAUUGCGUGAAAUACAAGCUGAAUUUAAAGCAUAUAAAAAACAAUUAUUAGGAAAGUAUUGCAGAGUGAUGAUUAGCCUUGAUGUAGAAAAAAGGGAAUGACAACGCUUUUUAAAGAUGGUGAUUUAUUUCACAAAGUUCAUAAGAAACAAAACGUAUAUUAACAAUGCGUAAAACUUUA